rnacentral:rRNA from 1 species
CCUACGGGUGGCAGCAGUGGGGGAUAUUGCACAAUGGGGGGAACCCUGAUGCAGCGACGCCGCGUGGGUGAAGAAGCGCCUCGGCGCGUAAAGCCCUGUCAGCAGGGAAGAAAAUGACGGUACCUGAAGAAGAAGCCCCGGCUAACUACGUGCCAGCAGCCGCGGUAAUACGUAGGGGGCAAGCGUUAUCCGGAUUGACUGGGUGUAAAGGGAGCGUAGACGGCAUAGCAAGUCUGAAGUGAAAGCCCAAGGCUCAACCAUGGGACUGCUUUGGAAACUGUUAAGCUAGAGUGCUGGAGAGGUAAGCGGAAGUCCUAGUGUAGCGGUGAAAUGCUUAGAUAUUAGGAAGAACACCAGUGGCGAAGGCGGCUUACUGGACAGUAACUGACGUUGAGGCUCGAAAGCGUGGGGAGCAAACAGGAUUAGAUACCCGUGUAGUC